rnacentral:tRNA from 1 species
AAGUGAGAAGCAAAUCUUGCAGUCAGUUUCGACCUGAUCCCUGAUAAACCUAACCUUAUCCUCACUUU